rnacentral:rRNA from 1 species
AUUGAACGCUGGCGGCAUGCUUUACACAUGCAAGUCGAACGGCAGCGCGGGCUUCGGCCUGGCGGCGAGUGGCGAACGGGUGAGUAAUACAUCGGAACGUGCCCAGUAGUGGGGGAUAGCUCGGCUAAAGCCGGAUUAAUACCGCAUACGACCUGAGGGUGAAAGCGGGGGAUCUUCGGACCUCGCGCUAUUGGAGCGGCCGAUGGCAGAUUAGCUAGUUGGUGAGGUAAAGGCCUACCAAGGCGACGAUCUGUAGCUGGUCUGAGAGGACGACCAGCCACACUGGGACUGAGACACGGCCCAGACUCCUACGGGAGGCAGCAGUGGGGAAUUUUGGACAAUGGGCGAAAGCCUGAUCCAGCAAUGCCGCGUGUGUGAUGAAGGCCUUCGGGUCGUAAAGCACUUUUGGCGGGAACGAAAAGGACUGUGCCAAUACCACGGUUCGAUGACGGUACCCGCAGAAUAAGCACCGGCUAACUACGUG